rnacentral:rRNA from 1 species
CAGUCGAGCGGACAGAAGGGAGCUUGCUCCCGGAUGUUAGCGGCGGACGGGUGAGUAACACGUGGGUAACCUGCCUGUAAGACUGGGAUAACUCCGGGAAACCGGAGCUAAUACCGGAUAGUUCCUUGAACCGCAUGGUUCAAGGAUGAAAGACGGUUUCGGCUGUCACUUACAGAUGGACCCGCGGCGCAUUAGCUAGUUGGUGAGGUAACGGCUCACCAAGGCAACGAUGCGUAGCCGACCUGAGAGGGUGAUCGGCCACACUGGGACUGAGACACGGCCCAGACUCCUACGGGAGGCAGCAGUAGGGAAUCUUCCGCAAUGGACGAAAGUCUGACGGAGCAACGCCGCGUGAGUGAUGAAGGUUUUCGGAUCGUAAAGCUCUGUUGUUAGGGAAGAACAAGUGCAAGAGUAACUGCUUGCACCUUGACGGUACCUAACCAGAAAGCCACGGCUAACUACGUGCCAGCAGCCGCGGUAAUACGUAGGUGGCAAGCGUUGUCCGGAAUUAUUGGGCGUAAAGGGCUCGCAGGCGGUUUCUUAAGUCUGAUGUGAAAGCCCCCGGCUCAACCGGGGAGGGUCAUUGGAAA